UGGGGAAUAUUGGACAAUGGGCGAAAGCCUGAUCCAGCCAUGCCGCGUGUGUGAAGAAGGUCUUCGGAUUGUAAAGCACUUUAAGUUGGGAGGAAGGGCAUUAACCUAAUACGUUAGUGUUUUGACGUUACCGACAGAAUAAGCACCGGCUAACUCUGUGCCAGCAGCCGCGGUAAUACAGAGGGUGCAAGCGUUAAUCGGAAUUACUGGGCGUAAAGCGCGCGUAGGUGGUUUGUUAAGUUGGAUGUGAAAUCCCCGGGCUCAACCUGGGAACUGCAUUCAAAACUGACUGACUAGAGUAUGGUAGAGGGUGGUGGAAUUUCCUGUGUAGCGGUGAAAUGCGUAGAUAUAGGAAGGAACACCAGUGGCGAAGGCGACCACCUGGACUAAUACUGACACUGAGGUGGGAAAGCGUGGGGAGCAAACA
rnacentral:rRNA from 1 species